AUUGAGUUUGAUCCUGGCUCAGGAUGAACGCUGGGGGCGCGCCUAACACAUGCAAGUCGAACGGUUAAGGCACCUUCGGGUGCAAAUAAAGUGGCGAACGGCUGAGUAACACGUGGGCAACCUGCCCCUCUCAUCGGGACAGCCUCGGGAAACCGUGGUUAAUACCGAAUACUCCGGGACCCCCGCAUGGGGGACCCGGGAAAGCUCCGGCGGAGAGGGAUGGGCCCGCGGCCUGUUAGCUUGUUGGUGGGGCAACGGCCCACCAAGGCAAUUAUGGGUAGCUGGGUUGAGAGACCGACCAGCCAGAUUGGGACUGAGACACGGCCCAGACUCCUACGGGGGGCAGCAGUGGGGAAUCUUGCACUAUGGGCGAAAGCCUGAUGCAGCGACGCCGCGUGCGGGAUGAAGGCCUUCGGGUUGUAAACCGCUUUCAGCAGGGACGAGGCCGCAAGGUGACGGUACCUGCAGAAGAAGCCCCGGCUAACUACGUGCCAGCAGCCGCGGUAAUAAU
rnacentral:rRNA from 1 species